CCCAUGGAAAGAGGAGCUAUUUUUCUCAGAGCCAAAGACGAGUUGCUGAAAUGGCUGCCAGCAGAACUGUGAUGUUAAAAAAAAAAAUCUUGCAAACUGGAAAUGGUUGAGCCAGUGGGAGGUCUUUAACAUUCCUCCUACCCUAUCCACUUGGAUGCCAGCCUCCCUCCUCCUGAAGUGUGAGCUUUUUUAUAGGACUUGGAUGGGAACUCCUCAAAGCCUCAGGAAUCACUGCUGCACCGUGCAAAAUGAUCCACCCUAAGCCUGUGCAAACCUCCUCUGAAGUGCUCCAAGCUUCUUCCUUAUCUGUGCUGCUGUGACCACCCUUGUUAUUCUGAUUUGGUCUUGGCAUUCACCACAGAAUUUCUCACCAUGACAAGCACUGAUUUUGAGCAAGCAACUGAAAUGUAUCAAAGUAUGGAUCUCUUAUUGACUCUUUAUAGAUUUUUGUUGCGUAUUUUGCAUACCCAUUUUUAAAGCACUCUGUUAAAUAUCCGAUUUUUACAUCUAAUAAAUUUCUGUUUUCUUCUGAAAAAGUUUGGAGG
rnacentral:lncRNA from 1 species